CACUGACAUUAGAUACCCGUCGUAGUCCCAGCCGUAAACUAUGCGCGUUAGGUGUAUCGGUAACCACGUGUUACUGAUGUGCCGAAGAGAAAUCGUGAAACGCACCACCUGGGAAGUACGGUCGCAAGGCUGAAACUUAAAGGAAUUGGCGGGGGAGCACCGCAACGGGAGGAGCGUGCGGUUUAAUUGGAUUCAACACCGUAAACUCACCAGGGAAGACUGUUACAUGAAGGCCGAGAUGAAGACUCUGCUAGAUUUUCAG
rnacentral:rRNA from 1 species